GCGAACGCUGGCGGCAUGCCUAACACAUGCAAGUCGCACGGGGGGGCUUCGGCCUCCCAGUGGCGGACGGGUGAGGAACGCGUAGGGACCUGUCGAGGGGUGGGGGAUAACCGCGGGAAACUGCGGCUAAUACCGCAUGACGCCGCGGCGUGACAGCCGGGGCCAAAGGCGAAAGCCGCCCGCCGAGGGGCCUGCGUCCGAUUAGCUGGUUGGCGGGGUAGCGGCCCACCAAGGCGUCGAUCGGUAGCUGGUCUGAGAGGGUGAUCAGCCACACCGGGACUGAGACACGGCCCGGACUCCUACGGGAGGCAGCAGUGGGGAAUAUUGGACAAUGGGCGCAAGCCUGAUCCAGCAGUGCCGCGUGGGUGAAGAAGGUCUUCGGAUUGUAAAGCCCUUUCGGCGGGGACGAUGGUGACGGUACCCGCAGAAGAAGCCCCGGCUAACUUCGUG
rnacentral:rRNA from 1 species